rnacentral:lncRNA from 1 species
UGUCCUUCAAAACAGCUACACCUAUUCCGUUUGCCACGUUUAGUUAAGGAUUAUGAAUAUAAUUUAGUAACUAUACGGUCCACUUUAUUUAAUUCAUUAUAAAUUUCAUCCUUACCAAAUAAUCUAAACAUAAUAAGAAACCAGUCUGGCCACAUUCUGGCUGUACAAUAACUUAUUCUACGUUUCUAACCAACUUGUAUAUAAAAUAAGUUGCAUCUCUGUACUAAGAAUUUAUCAUGUAACUGUUUUGAUGAUAAAAUGAAUCGCCAAGUGCUGGGCAGGACAUGUCUCAGAGUGUAACGGGAACUUCCCCUAGGAAAUUACCAAUAAGACUCAUUCUAUCUUAUACUCUGAAAGGGGAGAUUUUACUUCGUAUGAUCACAUCCCAUACACACGAGUUGGCCAGCAGAAGAUAAACUACAACAGUUUUCAAUUUCAAAAGAGAGAAUUCUACAGAACUUGUAAGAGUCAAUUCAACAGUUAAUACCAUCACAGAUAACAAACUUUCACUACUUUGCAAUUAAAACAUUGAAAACAUGAAUACUGUUACUACUAUGCUCCCAUCUGUAGCCAGAAUUCUGUGGGUUGGAGCCAUUCAAAUGUUGUUCUAUGUAUAACUUCAACGUUAAGAGGCCAUCGACUUUCCUCUAGUUUCUAUGUGCCGAUGUCUUCCUUAAGCAUGAAAUCGUCUGUAACAAAAAAAUAUGUUUGUGUGUGUAUCAAACGUGCACAAGUGAAUCAUAGCCCAACGUCAUGUCAUGAAGCUUGAAAGAACAAUACGAACACCACCAAAUCAAGGAGCUAUGACCUAUAUAUAUAUAUUGUCCAACUUCUGCUUAUGGUUUUGUACCUUCAAAUGCAAUUAGUGAAAGUACACUGUUUCAUUGU